rnacentral:tRNA from 1 species
GAGCCUGUGGCUCAAUGGUAGAGCGUUGGACUCAGUUACCAAAGGUCACGGGUUCAAAUCCCAGGUGUU